UUACGGCCAUAUCACCAUGAAAAACCGGUUCUCGUACGAUCACCGAGUUAAGCAACUUUGAGCCUGGUCAGUACGUAAAUGGGUGACAGUUUGGGAAUUCUACGUGG